rnacentral:rRNA from 1 species
UACGUAGGGGGCAAGCGUUGUCCGGAUUUAUUGGGCGUAAAGCGCGUGUAGGCGGCCAUACAGGUCCGUUGUGAAAACUCGAGGCUUAACCUCGAGACGUCGAUGGAAACCGUAUGGCUAGAGUCCGGAAGAGGAGAGUGGAAUUCCUGGUGUAGCGGUGAAAUGCGCAGAUAUCAGGAAGAACACCAAUGGCGAAGGCAGCUCUCUGGGACGGUACUGACGCUGAGACGCGAAAGCGUGGGGAGCGAACAGG